rnacentral:rRNA from 1 species
ACCGCUCAGUAACACGUGGACAACCUACCCUUAGGUCGGGGAUAAACCCGGGAAACUGGGUAUAAUACCCGAUAGAUCUCGGCUGCUGGAAUGCAUCGAGCUCUAAAGCUCCGGCGCCUAAGGAUGGGUCUGCGGCCUAUCAGGUAGUAGUGGGUGUAGCGUACCUACUAGCCUACGACGGGUACGGGUUGUGAGAGCAAGAGCCCGGAGAUGGAUUCUGAGACACGAAUCCAGGCCCUACGGGGUGCAGCAGGCGCGAAAACUUUACAAUGCUGGAAACAGCGAUAAGGGAACCUCGAGUGCCAGGUUACAAAUCUGGCUGUCGUGAUGCCUAAAAAGCAUUGCAUAGCAAGGGCCGGGCAAGACCGGUGCCAGCCGCCGCGGUAACACCGGCGGCUCGAGUGGUAACCGUUAUUAUUGGGUCUAAAGGGUCUGUAGCCGGCCGGAUAAGUCUCUUGGGAAAUCUGGCAGCUUAACUGUCAGGCUUUCAGGAGAUACUGUCUGGCUCGAGGCCGGGAGAGGUGAGAGGUACUUCAGGGGUAGGGGUAAAAUCCUGUAAUCCUGGAAGGACCACCGGUGGCGAAGGCGUCUGACUAGAACGGAUCCGACGGUGAGGGACGAAGCCCUGGGGCGCAAACGGGAUUAGAUACCCCGGUAGUCCAGGGUGUAAACGCUGCGGGCUUGGUGUUGGGGGUCCUUAGUGGGCGCCCAGUGCCGGAGAGAAGUUGUUAAGCCUGCUGCUUGGGGAGUAUGUCCGCAAGGAUGAAACUUAAAGGAAUUGGCGGGGGAGCAC